GUCGAACGCUUCUUUCCUCCCGAGUGCUUGCACUCAAUUGGAAAGAGGAGUGGCGGACGGGUGAGUAACACGUGGGUAACCUACCCAUCAGAGGGGGAUAACACUUGGAAACAGGUGCUAAUACCGCAUAACAGUUUAUGCCGCAUGGCAUAAGAGUGAAAGGCGCUUUCGGGUGUCGCUGAUGGAUGGACCCGCGGUGCAUUAGCUAGUUGGUGAGGUAACGGCUCACCAAGGCCACGAUGCAUAGCCGACCUGAGAGGGUGAUCGGCCACACUGGGACUGAGACACGGCCCAGACUCCUACGGGAGGCAGCAGUAGGGAAUCUUCGGCAAUGGACGAAAGUCUGACCGAGCAACGCCGCGUGAGUGAAGAAGGUUUUCGGAUCGUAAAACUCUGUUGUUAGAGAAGAACAAGGACGUUAGUAACUGAACGUCCCCUGACGGUAUCUAACCAGAAAGCCACGGCUAACUACGUGCCAGCAGCCGCGGUAAUACGUAGGUGGCAAGCGUUGUCCGGAUUUAUUGGGCGUAAAGCGAGCGCAGGCGGUUUCUUAAGUCUGAUGUGAAAGCCCCCGGCUCAACCGGGGAGGGUCAUUGGAAACUGGGAGACUUGAGUGCAGAAGAGGAGAGUGGAAUUCCAUGUGUAGCGGUGAAAUGCGUAGAUAUAUGGAGGAACACCAGUGGCGAAGGCGGCUCUCUGGUCUGUAACUGACGCUGAG
rnacentral:rRNA from 1 species